rnacentral:sRNA from 1 species
AAGGGAAUGGAGGCAGGAAGGGCUUAUUCCUGCCCUUGAAGGUGGAACCCAGAAAUGCACACAUCAAUUCUGCUUGUGUUCCAUUGGCCAGUAUUUGGUCAUAUGGCCAUCCUAGCUGCAAGGGACACUGGGAGAUGUAGUCUUUGGCUGGGCAGCUAUGGUCCUGGCUAAAUAGGCUGUUUACUAUAAGGAAGUGGAGGGGUUUGUACAACACACUAGCAGUCUUUAGCCACAAAUGGGACCCUGAUUCUUUCACUGUGUCUCUGCCCCUCAGCCAGUUUCAAGCGCCCGGUAGUGAUCUUGGGACCCGUGGCCGACAUUACUAUGCAGAAGUUGACUGCUGAGAUGCCUGACCAGUUUGAAAUCGCAGAGACUGUGUCCAGGACCGACAGCCCCUCCAAGAUCAUCAAACUGGACACUGUGCGGAUGAUUGCAGAAAAAGACAAGCAUGCGCUCCUGGAUGUGACCCCCUCCGCCAUUGAGCGCCUCAACUAUGUGCAGUACUACCCCAUCGUGGUCUUCUUCAUCCCCGAGAGCCGGCCGGCCCUGAAGGCACUGCGCCAGUGGCUGGCGCCUGCCUCCCGCCGCAGCACCCGCCGCCUCUACGCACAAGCCCAGAAGCUGCGGAAGCACAGCAGCCACCUCUUCACAGGUGGGGGGGUGGGUGUCCCCGGGUAGGCGGGUGGGCCCCGGUCUGAGUCUCCUGCGCACACUAAUGUCCCCUCCCUGUAGCCACCAUCCCUCUGAAUGGCACGAGUGACACCUGGUACCAGGAGCUCAAGGCCAUCAUUCGAGAGCAGCAGACGCGGCCCAUCUGGACGGCGGAAGAUCAGCUGGAUGGCUCCUUGGAGGACAACCUAGACCUCCCUCACCGAGGCCUGGCCGACAGCUCUGCUGACCUCAGCUGCGACAGCCGUGUUAACAGUGACUACGA